GCCGGGAUAGCUCAGUUGGUAGAGCAG
rnacentral:ncRNA from 9 species